CCCACCCCCAACCCUGUCCCAUGCAGAGUUCCUGACUGAAAAAGCAAAGUCUGAGGAACGGUGGUCAGGAUCACCUCCCCGCUUCCCCAACUACCUUCAAGCAAGUCAUUUCCUAGAUUCCAGUUCCAGGGACCUCAGACUGAGCCCCAGAGUGCCUCAGAAGACUGGCGCUCAGGAAGGCACUUGGAGCUGGGGCAUCAUGAGUCAGACAGCGCAGGGACUCAUUGCUGGCGAUAGUGGCCUGAUUCUCGGGACCAGCGCACACACGAAGACACACAAGGAAAUCAAAUGACAAGGGCAGAAGAUUUCUGGAUGCCCAUGAUCUGUACCGUGCCAGGACUUCACUUCA